AUGAUGGGAGCCAUGAUGACCAAGACCAGGAGGGCGCCAGCGGGCGCCAGAGGGCGUCAAGUGGUCUGGCAAGUCAAGUUCAAGCUAGAGCUACCCCCGCGCUACGACGGCAUUCCUGACUCGGCGGAGUUCCUUAAGCUCUAUGCGUUGAGCAUCAAGGCGACGAACGGCGACGACAAGGUCGUGGCGAAUUGGUUCCCCAUGGCUCUCAAGGAUGGCACGUGCUCCUGGCUCAUGCAUCUUCCGGAGGGGUCGAUCUCUUCAUGGGACGAGAUCCGCGAGCAGUUCAUCGCCAACUUCCAAAGCACCCGCGACCGCGCCCUCACCGUCAACGACCAGCGGCGCGUGAAGCAGUGCCUCGGCAAGACUCUUCGCAAGUACAUUUAG
rnacentral:rRNA from 1 species